rnacentral:rRNA from 1 species
UACGUAGGCAGCGAGCGUUGUUCGGAAUUACUGGGCGUAAAGAGUGUGUAGGCGGUGCUCUAAGUUCGGUGUGAAAUCUCUCGGCUUAACUGGGAGGGUGCGCCGGAAACUGGAGUGCUCGAACGUGGGAGAGGAAAGCGGAAUUCCUGGUGUAGCGGUGAAACGCGUAGAUAUCAGGAGGAACACCUGCGGUGUAGACGGCUUUCUGGACCAUUGUUGACGCUGAGACACGAAAGCGUGGGUAGCAAACAGG